UACGAAGGGGGCUAGCGUUGUUCGGAAUUACUGGGCGUAAAGCGCACGUAGGCGGACAUUUAAGUCAGGGGUGAAAUCCCGGGGCUCGACCCCGGAACGGCCUUUGAUACUGGGUGUCUUGAGUUCGGAAGAGGUGAGUGGAAUUGCGAGUGUAGAGGUGAAAUUCGUAGAUAUUCGCAGGAACACCAGUGGCGAAGGCGGCUCACUGGUCCGAUACUGACGCUGAGGUGCGAAAGCGUGGGGAGCAAACAGG
rnacentral:rRNA from 1 species